GAUGAACGCUGGCGGCGUGCUUAACACAUGCAAGUCGAACGAAGCACUCUAUUUGAUUUUCUUUGGAAAUGAAGAUUUUGUGACUGAGUGGCGGACGGGUGAGUAACGCGUGGGUAACCUGCCUCAUACAGGGGGAUAACAGUUGGAAACGACUGCUAAUACCGCAUAAGCGCACAGGAUCGCAUGAUCCGGUGUGAAAAACUCCGGUGGUAUGGGAUGGACCCGCGUUUGAUUAGCCAGUUGGCAGGGUAACGGCCUACCAAAGCGACGAUCAGUAGCCGACCUGAGAGGGUGACCGGCCACAUUGGGACUGAGACACGGCCCAAACUCCUACGGGAGGCGGCAGUGGGGAAUAUUGCACAAUGGGGGAAACCCUGAUGCAGCGACGCCGCGUGAGCGAAGAAGUAUUUCGGUAUGUAAAGCUCUAUCAGCAGGGAAGAAGAAUGACGGU
rnacentral:rRNA from 1 species